CGCCCCUUGCAAAAAAAUUGAUGAAUAAGGGGUCCUGCCUGCCCAGUGACUUAGUUAAACGGCCGCGGUAUCUUGACCGUGCAAAGGUAGCAUAAUCAUUUGCCUCUUAAAUAGAGGCUGGUAUGAAUGGCAAGACUGGGGUUAAGCUGUCUCUUUCUCAGUACUUGAAUUUUAUAUUUUUGUGAAGAAGCAGAAAUAAAUUCGUAGGACGAGAAGACCCUAUCGAGCUUUAGUAAAAUUAUUAGUAGUGUGUAAGUAUAGAGUAUCUAAUAAAGCAAUGUAUUUGCAAGAAGAAUCUAAUGCUUUUUAUUUAACUAUAUAAUAAAAUAAUUUUGAUUGGGGCAAUCGCGGAGUAUAAAAAUCCUCCGCUCUAAGUAUUAAAAAAUUACUAUUUUUGAAUAAAGUGAUCCGCUGCAUAGCGAGCAAAGGAAUAAGUUACCGUAGGGAUAACAGCGUAAUUUUUUUGGAGAGUUCAUAUUGAUAAAAAAGUUUGCGACCUCGAUGUUGGAUCGAGAUUUCCUAGAGAUGCAGCAGUUUCUAAGGGUUGGUCUGUUCGACCAUUAAAAUCUU
rnacentral:rRNA from 1 species